rnacentral:tRNA from 1 species
GACCCGGUAGCUCACCCGGAUAGAGCAACUGCCUUCUAAGCAGUAGGUAGCGCGUUCGAGCCGCGCCCGGGUUGCCA